rnacentral:ncRNA from 1 species
GAAAAUGCGAUGAACAGGAGAGUAGCAAUAGCAGGUAUACAGGGAGAAGAUACCGCGACUGAGAGUAUCUUUAUACUCAUGCUAUUGCGAAGGACACCUGGGAGCUGACUGGCCGACAAUGUAGGCUAGAUCCGUGAACCUGCGUUAAGGGAAUGAGUACCAAUCAGGGUGGCACCACGGGAUUAACCUCUCGUCCCUGCG